rnacentral:tRNA from 1 species
GACGCUGGGCAACAUUGGUCUUGCAGCGAGCCCCUCAAGCUCGCCGAUGCGGGUUCGAUUCCCGUCCGCGUUA